GUAAGGAAUAUUGGACAAUGGACGCAAGUCUGAUCCAGCCAUGCCGCGUGAAGGAUUAAGGUCCUCUGGAUUGUAAACUUCUUUUAUAAGGGACGAAAAAAGGCUUUUCUAAGUCGUCUGACGGUACCUUAUGAAUAAGCACCGGCUAACUCCGUGCCAGCAGCCGCGGUAAUACGGAGGGUGCAAGCGUUAUCCGGAUUCACUGGGUUUAAAGGGUGCGUAGGCGGGCAGGUAAGUCAGUGGUGAAAUCCUAGAGCUUAACUCUAGAACUGCCAUUGAUACUAUCUGUCUUGAAUAUUGUGGAGGUAAGCGGAAUAUGUCAUGUAGCGGUUAAAUGCUUAGAUAUGACAUAGAACACCUAUUGCGAAGGCAGCUUACUACGCAUAUAUUGACGCUGAGGCACGAAAGCGUGGGGAUCAAACAGGAUUAGAAACCCUAGUAGUCC
rnacentral:rRNA from 1 species